UAGGGAAUUUUGGGCAAUGGGGGAAACCCUGACCCAGCAACGCCGCGUGAAGGAUGAAGUAUUUCGGUAUGUAAACUUCGAAAGAAUAGGAAGAAUAAAUGACGGUACUAUUUAUAAGGUCCGGCUAACUACGUGCCAGCAGCCGCGGUAAUACGUAGGGACCAAGCGUUGUUCGGAUUUACUGGGCGUAAAGGGCGCGUAGGCGGCAUGACAAGUCACUUGUGAAAUCUCUGGGCUUAACCCAGAACGGCCAAGUGAUACUGUCGCGCUAGAGUGCAGAAGGGGCAAUCGGAAUUCUUGGUGUAGCGGUGAAAUGCGUAGAUAUCAAGAGGAACACCUGAGGUGAAGACGGGUUGCUGGGCUGACACUGACGCUGAGGCGCGAAAGCCAGGGGAGCAAACGGGAUUAGAUACCCCCGUAGUCCCUGAGCGGGCUGGCAAGGCGCAU
rnacentral:rRNA from 1 species